UACGUAGGGUGCAAGCGUUGUCCGGAAUUAUUGGGCGUAAAGAGCUCGUAGGCGGUUUGUCGCGUCUGCUGUGAAAACUCAGGGCUUAACCCUGAGCCUGCAGUGGGUACGGGCAGACUAGAGUGUGGUAGGGGAGAUCGGAAUUCCUGGUGUAGCGGUGGAAUGCGCAGAUAUCAGGAGGAACACCGAUGGCGAAGGCAGGUCUCUGGGGCCAUUAACUGACGUGAGGAGCGAAAGCA
rnacentral:rRNA from 1 species